CAGUCGCCACGGGAAUACAGAGGGUGCGAGCGUUAAUCGGAGUUACUGGGCGUAAAGCGCGCGUAGGUGGUUCGCCAAGUUGGAUGUGAAAUCCCCGGGCUCAACCUGGGAACUGCAUCCAAAACUGGUGAGCUAGAGUACGGUAGAGGGUAGUGGAAUUUCCUGUGUAGCGGUGAAAUGCGUAGAUAUAGGAAGGAACACCAGUGGCGAAGGCGGCCCCCUGGACAAAGACUGACGCUCAGGUGCGAAAGCGUGGGGAGCAAACAGGAUUAGAUACCCCAGUAGUCCCUGUCUCUUAUAC
rnacentral:rRNA from 1 species